UUAUUAUCUUGUUACGUAUUUUGGCAGAGAAAGGGGUGCCUAACUUCUAUGCUCUAUGCAUUGCAAAACAAUGACUAUAUAGACAAGGAGGUGGGUGUUGGUGCAUAUUGUUUCUCGUUUAUAAUGUUUACAUGGUUGUAACUUAUGUAUAAAAUCCUUCUUUGUUUUCUCUCGUAUCUUCCCAAUUAGAUUACUUAUCGUGAUGAGCGAGGGGUGAGGCAUCAUGCAUCUUAAUUGGAGUGGAAAUUUUUAGUAUUUUCUGUGCAGAUUUAGAACUGUUUUAGUAUUAUCGAGACUAUCUUUGCAUAAUACUGAUUUGAAUAUUGAUGUGCAUUUGCAUUUGCAUUUGGUUCUCUUGGGUUUUGUACAGAUUAGCUUGGUAGAAAUGCCAAAGCGUAGCAAGAAAAAGUUGAUGGCUUUGACCACUAAUGUGAUGAGAGAUGAUAGUGAUAAGGGCCUUGGAUUACAGUAAGUUAUGAAAUAUUUGGUUGCCAAAUAUGAAGAGCUAGGGUGUGAAGUGAAAUGGAUGGGCAAGCCUGAUAAGGUGAUCUAGUCACAUUGGUCUGGUUACCGCUGUUAACUUCACUUCAUGUGAACCUUUAGCUUAAUACAUAUUUCUCUUGCACUUGACUACUAAGAUGAAUUUUGAGCAAGGCUACUUUUUGCUUUGAAGCAAACUUUGGUGUAGAAAUUUUGAAGAUUGUUGCUCAUAUGUUUCUAGGCUAUCCUUUGUAGGUUUUGGGGUUUUCUUUUGUGACAUAUGUUCAAUCAUGAAUUUGGAAAGAAAAUUAAUGGAAAGCCCCAAUUUUUGGAUGAUUAUGAAA